rnacentral:rRNA from 1 species
GCAAGUCGAGCGGAACGAGUUAUCUGAACCUUCGGGGAACGAUAACGGCGUCGAGCGGCGGACGGGUGAGUAAUGCCUAGGAAAUUGCCCUGAUGUGGGGGAUAACCAUUGGAAACGAUGGCUAAUACCGCAUGAUGCCUACGGGCCAAAGAGGGGGACCUUCGGGCCUCUCGCGUCAGGAUAUGCCUAGGUGGGAUUAGCUAGUUGGUGAGGUAAGGGCUCACCAAGGCGACGAUCCCUAGCUGGUCUGAGAGGAUGAUCAGCCACACUGGAACUGAGACACGGUCCAGACUCCUACGGGAGGCAGCAGUGGGGAAUAUUGCACAAUGGGCGCAAGCCUGAUGCAGCCAUGCCGCGUGUGUGAAGAAGGCCUUCGGGUUGUAAAGUACUUUCAGUCGUGAGGAAGGCGGCGUCGUUAAUAGCGGCGUUGUUUGACGUUAGCGACAGAAGAAGCACCGGCUAACUCCGUGCCAGCAGC